GUCCAGGCAGUUCCUGCAGUGUAUUGGUGAUUACUUUCUGACGCAGGUGGUGGGGGAUCUGAUGUGGAGGGGUGUGCUACUUGACCUUGUUUUUACUAGCGAGGAAGGGCUGGUAAGGGAUGAGAAGGCUGGGGGCAGGUUGGGAUGCAGCGAUCAUGAGGUAGUGGCGUUCAAGAUCUUGUGUGGAAGAAUCAAAGCAAUAAGUAGGAGUGCUACCCUGGACUUCAGGAGAGCCUACUUGAAGGUAUCCCACGGGCUAGUGUGUUAGAAGGUAAGGGGGCCCCUGAGAGCUCAUUGGCCCUUUAACUCCGCUUCUUCCGAGCUUAAGAUCAGUUGUGGAAGACAAAACUGUUUUGUUUUUUUUUUUUUUUUGGCUCAAAGUUUGCUUUGCGAGGCCUUUCUUGUGAUAAGACUCUAACUGACAACCGUGAAUUAUCUAGGGGGGCAAGUGGUGGGCGUCACCGCGCCACAAUACUUCUGCUUAUGACUGUAAAGAUAAGCAGAAGGACCAGCAGUCUUGUUCAGGGGGUGUGGCUUGAAAGAGCUGACCACUGCAAAAGGUGAUAAUGCUUGCGCGUGGCAACGCAGGCACCACUCCCUGCUGGCUUAUGUGUUGGGGCAGGUGUGCCAUGCUAACAGAGAGAAAAGAAGAAGAAGACCAAAAUCUGAGAAACUGGGGAUAAAAGGCCCUCACUAAACAAAGGACUGGGGAGAAGAACUGCCAAAGAAAAGAAAUCUUUGACAGAGUGUCAUGGUUUUAUGAUUUUUGUUAUCACUAUUCCACAUCAUAACAUCAUGAAAAGCAUGGGGAAUUAAAGAGUUAAUGGGACUGACAAGGGUUCUGUGGACUGACAACUUUCCGGAUACCUGGUUCUCAGAAGAGAGCAAGAACUACAUACCCCAGAGGACUUUGCGUUCAGAGGGGAAGAUAAGACCCCCAGGUCACAGGACUUGCUCUCUUUCUCUCACUGCCUGGCAGUGUGCGGUUGUGCUCCCCAGCUGUUUCACCUUCAAUUCCGAGCAAGGCCUUUGGUUUUGGACUCUCUCUCAUUUUAUUUGAUUUAUUAGUCUCAAUUCCAAUUAUAUUGUACUAUAUUGUGUUAUCUUGCAUUCUGAUCUCAUAUUUAGUAAAAUUUACUUUAUAUGAAAACAACUGUAUCCCUUAGAUGGUUGCCACUGUUCUGUCUUUGGACCCAGCUCCCAUCUCCCUACACACUCCCUUUCCCUUUUUGAGCUGGUGGGCCGGCGGGC
ensembl:lncRNA